UACAGAGGUGGCAAGCGUUGUUCGGAAUUACUGGGCGUAAAGGGCGCGUAGGCGGCCAUCUAAGUCAGACGUGAAAUCCCCCGGCUUAACCUGGGAACUGCGUCUGAUACUGGACGGCUGGAGUUUGGGAGAGGGAUGUAGAAUUCCAGGUGUAGCGGUGAAAUGCGUAGAUAUCUGGAGGAACACCGGUGGCGAAGGCGGCAUCCUGGACCGGUAUUGACGCUGAUGCGCGAAAGCCAGGGGAGCAAACGGG
rnacentral:rRNA from 1 species